rnacentral:rRNA from 1 species
GGAGUCUGGGCCGUAUCUCAGUCCCAAUGUGGCCGAUCACCCUCUCAGGCCGGCUACCGAUCGUCGCCUUGGUGGGCCGUUGCCCCGCCAACUAGCUAAUCGGACGCAAGCUCAUCCCAUACCGAUAAAUCUCUAGUCAGCCCUCCGUGCGGAAGGCCACUCUCCUGGACAUUAACCGCGCGUUGGCACGGGUAUUUCCUGAUAUGGGGGCAGAUUGCUUACGCGUUACUCACCCGUGCGCCGGUCGCCAUCAAAGUUUGCAAGCAAACUUCAUGCUGCCCCUCGACUUGCAUGUGUUAAGCCUGUAGCUAGCGUUCAUC